rnacentral:lncRNA from 1 species
UUAUCGAGCAAGCUGGCCCAGCUCACGUGCCAUGGCAAUCUCUGCCACAGCUUCCAGUCCUUCAACACCUCCUACACAGACACAGGAUUGUGGGGGCUCUAUAUGGUUUGUGAACAAGCCACAGUUGCUGACAUGCUGCACGCUGUACAAAAGGAAUGGAUGCGUCUGUGCACAGCUGUUAGUGAGAGUGAGGUCGCACGCGCCAAAAACCUUCUCAAGACAAACAUGCUGCUGCAGCUUGAUGGUAAGAGGUGAGGCGGGCUGCGGGGAGCUGCAGUGUCUGUGUGGAUGCUAGAUAUCCUUCCUUCUCUACAGGGUCAACUCCGAUCUGUGAAGACAUCGGUAGGCAGAUGCUAUGCUACAACAGGAGAAUCCCCAUCCCUGAGCUUGAGGCCAGGAUCGAUGUAAGUACUAAGCUUUGGGUGCUGCAAAGGCUGAGCGAGGUUCCCAGUCUAGACUCAGUUCAGGAAAGUCACGUAUGUGGGAUCCGUCCUCACUACACAAGUCCUGAUGACGGUAUCAUCUCCAUUGAAGGCUGUGGACGCGGAGAUGGUUCGAGAAGUGUGCACCAAGUACAUUUAUGGCAAAAGCCCGGCCAUUGCUGCUCUCGGUCCUAUUGAGCGCUUACCAGAUUUUAACCAGAUUUGUAGUAACAUGCGCUGGACUCGUGACUGAUUUUUGUGAUGAAUUAUCCUACACAUACAUAUUUAUAAAACUGAGACCUAGAAGUUUUGAAAGACUGCUCAUCUUCAAGUGAAAAAAUAAAAACUUUAUUUGAAA